UCAUAUGCUUGUCUCAAAGAUUAAGCCAUGCAUGUCUAAGUACGUGCCUAAGAAAGGUGAAACCGCGAAUGGCUCAUUAAAUCAGUUAUGGUUCCUUAGAUCGUACCUUACUACUUGGAUAACUGUGGUAAUUCUAGAGCUAAUACAUGCAGCAGAGCUCCGACCUUCGGGGACGAGCGCUUUUAUUAGACCAAGACCAAUCGGACUUCGGUCCGAAGCUCAUGGUGACUCUGGAUAACUUUGGGCUGAUCGCACGGUCUCGUACCGGCGACGCAUCUUUCAAGUGUCUGCCUUAUCAACUUUCGAUGGUAGGUUAUGCGCCUACCAUGGUCGUAACGGGUAACGGGGAAUCAGGGUUCGAUUCCGGAGAGGGAGCCUGAGAAACGGCUACCACAUCCAAGGAAGGCAGCAGGCGCGCAAAUUACCCACUCCCGGCACGGGGAGGUAGUGACGAAAAAUAACAAUACGGGACUCUAUUGAGGCCCCGUAAUUGGAAUGAGUACACUCUAAAUCCUUUAACGAGGAUCUAUUGGAGGGCAAGUCUGGUGCCAGCAGCCGCGGUAAUUCCAGCUCCAAUAGCGUAUAUUAAAGUUGUUGCGGUUAAAAAGCUCGUAGUUGGAUCUCAGUUCCAGACGGGUGGUCCACCUUUGGUGGUUACUGCCUGGCCUGAACAAAUCCAGCCGGUUUUCCUUGAUGCUCUUCACCGAGUGUCUUGGGUGACCGGCACGUUUACUUUGAAAAAAUUAGAGUGCUCAAAGCAGGCGUGACGCCUGAAUAAUGGUGCAUGGAAUAAUGGAAUAGGACCUCGGUUCUAUUUUGUUGGUUUUCGGAACACGAGGUAAUGAUUAAGAGGGACAGACGGGGGCAUUCGUAUUGCGACGCUAGAGGUGAAAUUCUUGGACCGUCGCAAGACGAACUACU
rnacentral:rRNA from 5 species